rnacentral:lncRNA from 1 species
AGAAACUCCAACCUCAGUUUUUCCCCGUAGCGUCGGUGAUGGCGGCAAACAGACCAUCUGAAUCGGGAAUAAAACGCUGCCUCAUUAGGUGCCUUUGCGCUUUCAUUCCUGAACCUGGGACUCGCAUCCGGGCUCGUCCGGCGAACGCUUGCUCUCCUGUCUGAAGGCGCCGACACCAAAGCCCAGCGCUGCGCCUCUUCGCCGCCGCUCCGYGGGAUGGGUCUGCGCAGAACGAGCAUCGCUGUGAAUAAGAAAGUCUCCUCUUCGUGCCAUAAAAAAAAAUCUGAAUUUUUUGCAGCCCCUACAGCUUUUUCUCCUUGGGCGCAAUCCCUUCCUGAAACGAAG